rnacentral:rRNA from 1 species
AUUGAACGCUAGCGGGAUGCCUUACACAUGCAAGUCGAACGGAGUGGCGAACGGGUGAGUAAUGUAUCGGAACGUGCCCAGUAGCGGGGGAUAACUACGCGAAAGCGUAGCUAAUACCGCAUACUAUUGGAGCGGCCGAUAUCGGAUUAGCUAGUUGGUGGGGUAACGGCUCACCAAGGCGACGAUCCGUAGCUGGUUUGAGAGGACGACCAGCCAUACUGUGACUGAGACACGGCCAAGACUCCUCCGGGAGGCAACAGUACGGAAUUUUGAGCGAUGUGGGAAUCCCUGUUCCAGCCAUCCGGCAUGUGGGAUGACGGCCUUCGGGUUGUAAAGCACUUUUGGCAAGAAAGCGGUACCUGAAAAAAAAGCACCGGCUUACUACGUGCAAGCAGCCGCGGUAAUAC